rnacentral:Y_RNA from 1 species
GGCUGCUUCAAAGGUAGUCAGUUAUCUCAAUGUUCGCAGUCAGUUACAGAUAGAACUCCUUGUUCUACUUUUUCCUCCCUUCUCACUACUGCAGUUGACUGGUCUUGA